AGGUCGUAACAAGGUUUCCGUAGGUGAACCUGCGGAAGGAUCAUUACCGAGUUCAUGCCCUCGCGGGUAGAUCUCCCACCCUUUGUAUACUAUACCUUUGUUGCUUUGGCGGGCCGCCUAGCUACUGGCUUCGGCUGGUAAGUGCCCGCCAGAGGACCCAAAACCCUGAAUAUUAGUGUCGUCUGAGUAAAAUUUUAAUAUUUAAAACUUUCAACAACGGAUCUCUUGGCUCUG
rnacentral:misc_RNA from 1 species